GAAAUUUAAAAACUAAAAUUUGAAAUUAGAAAUGUGAAAUUCAAAAUUUAAAAUUUAAAAUUUUGAAUUUUGAAUUCGAAAUAUAAAAUUAAAAAAUAGAAAUUUAAAAUUUAAAUAUUUAAAUUUUGGAUUUUCAAAUUUGAAAUUAUAAGUUUGAAAUUUGAAAUUUGAAAAUAGAAAUAUGAAAUCUGCAAUUUUAAAAUUAAAAUUUUAAAAAUUUUGAAAUUUAAAAUGUACAAUU
rnacentral:lncRNA from 1 species